ACUUAAAUAUUUUAAAUAAAAUAUUGAUUUGUGGAGUCAUUGAUAUGGGUUAAUCUCAUUUUAGGUC
rnacentral:tRNA from 1 species